UGGUCUGUCAAGGUGAUGUAGUGGUCUGUCUGGUCUGUAAAGGUGAUGUAGUGGUCUGUAAAGGUGAUGUGAUGGUUGGUCUGUAUAGGUGAUGGUUGGUCUGUAUAGGUGAUG